UUGAAACCUAUGAAAAGGCUAGUAGCAAUAUAAAAGUCUUUAGAGAUUCAGUGGUUGGUGAGAACUGAAACUAUUUAUUUUGUGAAUCCACCUUGGAGGGAUUGUGAUAAUAAACAGUACGUUAAGCACGUUAAGCUUAUUUUAAAGAGGAUUAAUUUUACAAGUUAAUCAAUUAGGGUGGCAACGCGGAGUCUUUCGUCCCUUUA
rfam:Clostridium tetani E88, complete genome.